UGUUGUGAAAAGCACACUUGGGUGCAUUUACUGGAAGCUGCAGAUAGUUCGGUCCAAGGCGGUGCCUCUGAGUAUCAGAAUAGGCAAAGAUUCUACCUUGGAGCAUUUUAUCAUUUGUGUAAUAUAUACCAGGUACAACAAGAGCUGGGUUGAAGGCAAGCAUCUCAUUCUCAGCAAAGAAAUUAUCUAUGUUCUUGUUUAAUACCAACCGGCCCACUGGCUGCAAGGGCAAGAUAUCCUCAGGCCAAGUCUUGGUAACAUCAAGUGGAUCAAAGUCAAACUUGUCUUCAUGUUCAGGAUCCAUCGUCUGGAUGAAAAGCUUCCACUCAGGAUAGUUUCCAGCCUUGAUCGAGUCAUAGAGAUCCUGAGUAGCAUGACUGUGGUUAGUUCCUCCAACUCUUAUGGCUUCAUCCUCCAACAAACACUUGACUCCACACGUGGGUUUCCAGUGGAACUUCACAUAAUUUGCCUUCCCAGCCUUGUUGAUUAG
rnacentral:lncRNA from 1 species